CGAGCGGACAGAUGGGAGCUUGCUCCCUGAUGUUAGCGGCGGACGGGUGAGUAACACGUGGGUAACCUGCCUGUAAGACUGGGAUAACUCCGGGAAACCGGGGCUAAUACCGGAUGGUUGUUUGAACCGCAUGGUUCAGACAUAAAAGGUGGCUUCGGCUACCACUUACAGAUGGACCCGCGGCGCAUUAGCUAGUUGGUGAGGUAACGGCUCACCAAGGCGACGAUGCGUAGCCGACCUGAGAGGGUGAUCGGCCACACUGGGACUGAGACACGGCCCAGACUCCUACGGGAGGCAGCAGUAGGGAAUCUUCCGCAAUGGACGAAAGUCUGACGGAGCAACGCCGCGUGAGUGAUGAAGGUUUUCGGAUCGUAAAGCUCUGUUGUUAGGGAAGAACAAGUGCCGUUCAAAUAGGGCGGCACCUUGACGGUACCUAACCAGAAAGCCACGGCUAACUACGUGCCAGCAGCCGCGGUAAUACGUAGGUGGCAAGCGUUGUCCGAAAUUAUUGGGCGUAAAGGGCUCGCAGGCGGUUUCUUAAGUCUGAUGUGAAAGCCCCCGGUUCAACCGG
rnacentral:rRNA from 2 species